rnacentral:pre_miRNA from 1 species
GUAUAUAGAAUCUUUACCGCAGAUAGCGAUAUCCUCUGAAUGGUGAGUGGGAUUCACCAUUUAGAGGAUAUCGCUGUCCGCGAUAACGGAUUCACGAGAAAAUGUUCCAU